rnacentral:rRNA from 1 species
GUAGGGGCCAAGCGUUAUCCGGAUUUAUUGGGGCGUAAAGAGCUCGUAGGCGGCUUGGCAAGUCGGUCGUGAAAGUCCGAGGCUCAACCUCGGGAAUGCCGGGUCGAAACUGCCAUGGCUAGGGUUCGGUAGAGGAGAGUGGAAUUCUCGGUGUAGCGGUGAAAUGCGCAGAUAUCGAGAGGAACACCAGUAGCGAAGGCGGCUCUCUGGGCCGAUACCGACGCUGAGGAGCGAAAGCGUGGGGAGCGAACAGGAUUAGAUACCCUGGUAGUCCACGCCGUAAACGGUGAUCACUAGGUGUGGCGGACUCAUUGACGUCUGCUGUGCCGGCGCUAACGCAUUAAGUGAUCCGCCUGGGGAGUACGGCCGCAAGGCUA